CUGGUUCCUCUGUUUGUCUAUACUCAGUUCCGCCUGUUCGCUACACCAGUACUUAGUUCGGUGUUUGCUUCGUUCCUGCAAUGAGUACACAUGACAGUUACAGAAGAAGAGACUCUGAUGUUUACCUGCUGUCCGAGCUCUCCUGGAUAUCCCUGCUUCCCUGGUUUACCCUGCAGCACAAACAUAGAAGGUUUCCCUGGGACACCCUGCAGGUGGAAAUCAAUGCAUGAGUCUAAUAAUCUGAAAUCUGCUGUAGUCUAAAUGUUAGACUGAUUAUAUGAUGGAUGGAUUGACUCACAGGAGAUCCAUGGCAACCUUUCUGUCCUUCUACACCUGGUUCUCCCUUCAAGACAAACACAGAACAUUGGAGAAGAAGAAACACAUUAACAUGUAAAACGUAGAGGCAGAUGUACCUUCAGCUCUUUGGGUCCUUCAACGUACAGUUUGAUUCCCUGCUUUCCGGGGAUUCCUGGAGGUCCACGCUCACCCUGAAAAUCAAACACAGCUGAUCCUUCUGGUGGGGGAGUCAUAGAUGAUCAUUUGACG